UCAAGGUUAAAAACUCAAAAUGAAUUUGUCGGAGGUGCGGCACAAACGGUAGAGCAUUUGGUUUAAUUUGAGCGGACUGGAAAGAACCUUACUUAUUUUUGGCAUCCAGAGAAUUCGCUAGAGAUAGAUUAGUGCCUUUCGGGUAACUUUGAGACAGGUGCUGCAUGGCGGUCGUCAGCUCGUGUUGUGAAAAUGUUGGGUUACCGUCCCGCAACGAGCGCAACCCCUAUCCUUAUUUGCCAGCACGUAAUGGUGGGAACUCUAGGGAGACUGCCGGUGAUAAACCGGAGGAAGGUGGGGACGACGUCAAGUCAUCAUGGCCCUUACGAGUAGGGCUACACACGUGCUACAAUGGCGAGUACAGAGGGUUGCAAAGCCGCGAGGUGGAGCUAAUCUCACAAAGCUCGUCGUAGUCCGGAUUGGAGUCUGCAACUCGACUCCAUGAAGUCGGAAUCGCUAGUAAUCGUGGAUCAGAAUGCCACGGUGAAUACGUUCCCGGGCCUUGUACUCGCCGCCCGUCAACCCACAGGUAGAGUGUGUAUGCACUGGGUACACGGAAGUCGUAGACAAGGUAACCA
rnacentral:rRNA from 1 species